CCCGCUGAACUUAAGCAUAUCAGUAAGCGGAGGAAAAGAAACUAACUAGGAUUGCCUCAGUAGCGGCGAGUGAACAGGCAACAGCUCAAAUUGAAAAUCUGGGGCCUUCGGCCUUAGAAUUGUAAUCUAAAGAAUUUUACAGAAGGGAUGGACUUCGUGUAAGCGCCUGGAACGGUGCGGCAUAGAGGGUGAUACUCCCGUGUACAACGAAAGUCCACCCGUAUGUAAGGUUUCCAAGAGUCGGGUUGUUUGGGAAUGCAGCCCUAAAUGGGAGAUAAACUUCUUCUAAAGCUAAAUAUUUAUGGGAGACCGAUAGCGAACAAGUACUGCGAAGGAAAGAUGAAAAGAACUUUGAAAAGAGGGUGAAAAGACUUGAGAUCGUUGAAAAGGAAGCGGUUGAAGAAUAUUAUUUGGUCGUGACGUUUGUCUGGAAGGAGUCGACUUGCACGAUUCGUAGUACUUUAUUGGCUUGCUUUGUGCAACGUAACGGCUUCUUCAGCCAUUUUUGCGACUAAAAGGCAAAAUGAGGUUUAGACUGUGGGAAUCACUUCGGGAAGCGCCCCCGAUAACUCGGAAGUUCUCGGAGAAAGCCACAGCUCAAGCCUGAGGGACUGGUUAGUGAUUUUGCCAAAAUGGCUUCAACCGGCCCGUCUUGAAACACGG
rnacentral:rRNA from 1 species